rnacentral:piRNA from 1 species
UAGGCAGUGUAAUUAGCUGAUUG